UAUUGUUGAACUUAUGUUAAGGUUGGCCUAGGUGAUUCACAUAUCACAUAAUACACAUAAGCCUAAGUUAUGUUUGCCUACGUAAUUUAUAGAGCACGUAAAACACAUAAAUUCCCGCCCCCCAAGCAGUCCCCUAAUUACUAUUACAUCAGGCUUAUACAAAGUUAUUACAACACAAUGAAUUAAUGAACAACAAAAGAAAAGGAGCAACUCCCACAAACUUCUGGCGGCUCUGCAUCUAUAUCAAAUGCCCAAUAGUAUCUGCAGUACAAACAACAUAUCCCCAAAGGCACAACAAACCAACAGAUAUGCAACACUUAAAUCACAAAAGCAAUAACUAGGCGUUGAUUUCACUAACAAUCUCAUUCAAAAACAACAUCGAUGCAUUUAAACUAACAUGUAAUAAAACUAACAUGUAAUAAUUAAAGAUGUCGUUCAAGAAACUAAUUGAUUUCGUAGUAACAAGUGGAUAAAGAAAAGAGCGACAAGGAGCGUUUUGAGUCACGCAGGCAGCAAUGUAUAACAACUAGAACACAGACCAAGAGCUCCUUCACCAAGCGAGAAGAGCAAAACUUAAAAGUACUUUGUUUAUGCAAGAAGAGUAAAAAAAUUAUCCUUCUGCAAAUGGAAUAUAUUGAGUUUCUGUCUCUUAGAAUGAAAAAAAGUUGUCUUUAUAUAGGCAAAGGGUCGAGAAGAAAAUCUUGCAAGUGAUCGAUCAGGGGAACUCAAAAAGGAAAAUAUAUUCACAAGAGUCGAUCAAUAUACACAUUUUACUUAAGGAGAUAAGGGAAUCAAUUUGAAAAUAAAAAGUUAAAUUUAUCAUAAAUAAGUAAAUCUAUAUGCAUCUAUAUCUAUAAUCUAUAUCUAUAAUCUAUAAUCUAUUAAAAGUGCGAAGACCGAAAAGUGAUUUGAACUUUUUGCCAAGACUUUUCUUUAGACAAAACUGUCUUUUCACUAUUUUUAAUUUAUUAUUUAAUUUUUUUUGUUAUAUUAACUAGACUUCCUAAAAUAUAUUGGACUUCUAAAAUAUAUGGUAGGAGAAUGAAUUAAUAUUUUCAUUUCCACUAGACUUCCUAAAUUAUAUAGGAAUUAUAUAGGACUCCUAAAAUAUAUGAUAGGAGAAUUAAUUAAUAUUUUCCUCUCUACUAUUCAAUUAGAAAAAUAUUCCUAAAAUAGGACUCGAUUAAGGAAAUACUUCUAUAAAUAUUGAGAUAUAUGUUAAACUAGAGAAAAAAACGAUUUGCCUAUUGGCUAUAAAUAUUGAGAUAUAUGUUAAACUAGAGAAAAAACCGAUUUGCCUAUUGGGAGAAUAUGAUUGAUGCUCAUCUAACUUGAUUCAAUUACAUGUUUAGAUUGGUGGAUGUUUGAUUUUCAAACUCUCAACUUCUUCACUGUUUUUGUCAACAUAAUAGAAUUCAACAUGUGUGUAUAUAUAUAUUUUCUUUGUUUUCAUUCAAAAUCAUUCUUUAGGGUCAAAAUUUUCGCUCAGACAAGAAUUAGUUGAAUCAAAAUCGAAGCUUUGUGAUCGUUAUUAUAUUGUUUUUUAUAGUUUACAAGUCAUAGAUGAAUGUCGGUUGGCUUUGAAAAAUUUCUUGUGCAAAAAUUAGAUUUAAUUGUAUUGUUUUGAUAUCUUUAUUAUCUUAUUGUUUUAUUUUAAUUUACAGAUGCUAGAUGAAUGUGGGUCGACUUUAAAUUUUUUUAUAGGUAAAAGUUAGGUUUAAUUGUAUUAUCAUAAUCUCUAUUAGUUUAUUAUUUUGUGGUAGUUUACAGUUCGUAGAUGAAUUUCGAUCGGCUUUGAAAAAAUUUUGUGUGUAAAAUUUAAUUUUAAUUGUAUUGUUUUGAUAUUACUUUUAUCGUAUUAUUUUUUUGCAGUUUACAGUUGAUAGAUAAAUGUUGGUCGGCUUUGAAGAAUUUUUUUUAUGUAAAGAUUAGGUUUAAUUGUAUUAUUUUGAUAUCUCUAUUAUCGUAUUAUUUUAUUAUUGUUUACAGGUGGUAGAUGAGUGUCGGACGACUUUGAGAAAAUUUUUGUUUGUCAAAUCAAAUUUUCCCAAAAGGACGUCACAUUGAUCAAUCAAUAUCCAACCGAUAAAUAGGACUAAACGAGUGUUCAUUGGGCACUUUCAUAUAUAUCACUCAAGAUAUGUAAACAAGGAUGUAAUCAAAAUUCAAAGUCAACAUUAUUAAUUAAGAAUAUGUUUAAGAAAAAAAAAUAGAAGGAAAUGAGGAUAUUAAGACAAUAACUUAAUCGAAAAAGGCAAACCUGGGACGUAUUUCGUAAAUCUGUCAUGUAUUUAAGAAUUUCCGACGAUAUUUCACCGACAAUAGCGGUGGUGGCCGCGGCUGGAGCGGGCUAUGGCCAUUAGUGUCGCUGUUUUGAGGAAUUUUGUCAGUGGAGAAGAUAAUGGAAGAGAGAGAGGGCGUUGGGGAAUGGCAGUGCGGAACUGUUGCUAGUCGCGACUUGAGAUGGAGAAGAUGAUGAGGCAGCGAUGGCUGGCGGAUCUGGGCGAUAGCCAGAGAUGGCUGUGAAGGCAGCGUUGGAACUAGUGAAGUGAGGGAAGGAAAGGAGAGAAGAGAGAGAAGAGGAGGGGGUGAGGCUAUUUCAUUGGUUGGCUUGCCGGAUGCAUGGUUGCUUGCAGCGGCGGUUGUGGCUGGAGAGGGACGACGGAGGGAUGAAGGAGGUUGGCAGCAGCGCUGGUGGUCUUGGGAAGGCCGUCCGUCCGGUGGUUAGCCGCGGCGGCAGCAGAACAGUGAGGGGGUCUGGUUUUAGAGAGAGAAAGAAGAGAGAAGGGGGAGAAGAAGGAGG
rnacentral:lncRNA from 1 species